UACAGAGGUGGCAAGCGUUGUUCGGAAUUACUGGGCGUAAAGGGCGAGUAGGUGGCCAUCUAAGUCAGACGUGAAAUCCCCCGGCUCAACCGGGGAAUUGCGCCUGAUACUGGCGGGCUAGAGAUCGAUAGGGGUGAUCGGAACUCCAGGUGGAGCGGUGAAAUGCGUAGAUAUCUGGAGGAACACCGGUGGCGAAAGCGGAUCACUGGAUCGAAACUGACGCUGAGGUGCGAAAGCUAGGGUAGCAAACGGG
rnacentral:rRNA from 1 species